AUUGAGAGUUUGAUCCUGGCUCAGGAUGAACGCUAGCUACAGGCUUAACACAUGCAAGUCGAGGGGCAUCGAGAUUGAAGCUUGCUUCAAUUGUCGGCGACCGGCGCACGGGUGAGUAACACGUAUCCAACCUGCCAUUCACUCUCGGAUAGCCUUCUGAAAGGAAGAUUAAUACGAGAUGGUAUCAGGAAUCAGCAUUUUUUCUUGAUUAAAGAAUUUCGGUGGAUGAUGGGGAUGCGUUCCAUUAGGCAGUUGGCGGGGUAACGGCCCACCAAACCUACGAUGGAUAGGGGUUCUGAGAGGAAGGUCCCCCACAUUGGAACUGAGACACGGUCCAAACUCCUACGGGAGGCAGCAGUGAGGAAUAUUGGUCAAUGGACGAGAGCCUGAACCAGCCAAGUAGCGUGAAGGAUGACUGCCCUAUGGGUUGUAAACUUCUUUUAUACGGGAAUAAAGUUCACUACGUGUAGUGUUUUGUAUGUACCGUAUGAAUAAGGAUCGGCUAACUCCGUGCCAGCAGCCGCGGUAAUACGGAGGAUCCGAGCGUUAUCCGGAUUUAUUGGGUUUAAAGGGAGCGUAGAUGGGUGUUUAAGUCAGUUGUGAAAGUUUGCGGCUCAACCGUAAAAUUGCAGUUGAUACUGGACGCCUUGAGUGCAGUUGAGGUAGGCGGAAUUCGUGGUGUAGCGGUGAAAUGCUUAGAUAUCACGAAGAACUCCGAUUGCGAAGGCAGCCUACUAAGCUGUAACUGACAUUGAGGCUCGAAAGUGUGGGUAUCAAACAGGAUUAGAUACCCUGGUAGUCCACACGGUAAACGAUGAAUACUCGCUGUUGGCGAUAUACGGUCAGCGGCCAAGCGAAAGCAUUAAGUAUUCCACCUGGGGAGUACGCCGGCAACGGUGAAACUCAAAGGAAUUGACGGGGGCCCGCACAAGCGGAGGAACAUGUGGUUUAAUUCGAUGAUACGCGAGGAACCUUACCCGGGCUUAAAUUGCACUGGACAGUUUUGGAAACAGGACUUUCUUCGGACCAGUGUGAAGGUGCUGCAUGGUUGUCGUCAGCUCGUGCCGUGAGGUGUCGGCUUAAGUGCCAUAACGAGCGCAACCCUUGUGACUAGUUACUAACAGGUUAUGCUGAGGACUCUAGUCAGACUGCCAUCGUAAGAUGUGAGGAAGGUGGGGAUGACGUCAAAUCAGCACGGCCCUUACGUCCGGGGCUACACACGUGUUACAAUGGGGGGUACAGCAGGCCGCUACCUGGCGACAGGAUGCCAAUCCCGAAAACCCCUCUCAGUUCGGACUGGAGUCUGCAACCCGACUCCACGAAGCUGGAUUCGCUAGUAAUCGCGCAUCAGCCACGGCGCGGUGAAUACGUUCCCGGGCCUUGUACACACCGCCCGUCACACCACGAAAGUUGGUAACACCCGAAGCCGGUGGGGUAACCGCAAGGAGCCAGCCGUCUAAGGUGGGGCCGAUGAUUGGGGUGAAGUCGUAACAAGGUAGCCGUAAAU
rnacentral:rRNA from 1 species